rnacentral:rRNA from 1 species
UACGGAGGGAGCUAGCGUUGUUCGGAAUUACUGGGCGUAAAGCGCGCGUAGGCGGCUUCGCAAGUCGGGUGUGAAAUCCCCAGGCUUAACCUGGGAACUGCAUUCGAGACUGCGUUGCUAGAGUAUGGGAGAGGGAAGUGGAAUUUCAGGUGUAGCGGUGAAAUGCGUAGAUAUCUGAAGGAACAUCAGUGGCGAAAGCGACUUCCUGGACCAAUACUGACGCUCAUGUGCGAAAGCGUGGGGAGCAAACAGG